rnacentral:rRNA from 1 species
CGAACGGGUGAGUAAUGCGUGACCAACCUGCCCCAUGCUCCAGAAUAGCUCUUGGAAACGGGUGGUAAUGCUGGAUGCUCCAACUUGACGCAUGUCUUGUUGGGAAAGUGUUUAGUGGCAUGGGAUGGGGUCGCGUCCUAUCAGCUUGUAGGCGGGUAAUGGCCCACCUAGGCUUCGACGGGUAGCCGGCCUGAGAGGGCGGACGGCCACAUUGGGACUGAGAUACGGCCCAGACUCCUACGGGAGGCAGCAGGC